rnacentral:rRNA from 1 species
GAUGAACGCUAGCUACAGGCUUAACACAUGCAAGUCGAGGGGAAACGAUAUUGGAAGCUUGCUUCCAAUAGGCGUCGACCGGCGGACGGGUGAGUAACGCGUGUCCAACCUGCACACCACCUGGGGAUAACCUGGCGAAAGUAAGACUAAUACCCAAUGAUAUCGCUAGAAGAUAUCUGACAGGGAUUAAAGAUUUAACGGAGAUGGAUGGGGAUGCGUUUGAUUAGCUUGUUGGCGGAGUAACGGUCCACCAAGGCGACGAUCAGUAGGGGUUCUGAGAGGAAGGUCCCCCACAUUUGAACGGAGACACUGUCCAAACUCCUACGUGAGGCAGCAGUCGAGAAUCUUCGGCAAUGGGGGCAACCCUGACCGAGCGACGCCGCGUGCGAGAUGAAGGCCUUCGGGUUGUAAAUCGCUGUCAGUGGGGAGGAAAUAUUGGUGGGUUCUCCCAUCAGUUUGACCUAUCCGCAGAGGAAGGACGGGCUAAGUUCGUGCCAGCAGCCGCAGUAACAC